rnacentral:rRNA from 1 species
UCAAGCUACUAAGGGCAAGCGGUGAAUGCCUUGGUGCCAAGAGGCGAUGAAGGACGUGGUAAGCUGCGAUAAGUCACGGGGAGCUGCAAACAGGCUUUGAUCCGUGAAUUUCCGAAUGGGGAAACCCAUCCCGGUUUCCGGGAUGCCGCCGGAUGAAUUCAUAGUCCGUCGGAGCGAAACCCGCUGAAGUGAAACAUCUCAGUAAGCGGAGGAAAAGAAAACGAAGUGAUUCCGUAAGUAGUGGCGAGCGAAAGCGGAGGAGCCUAAACCGGUCGGACUUGUCCGGCCGGGGUUGAGGGACCUUGAUGUGGGAGUUGUGAAGCGAGUCGAACUGCUUGGAAAAGCAGACCAGAGAGCGUGACAGUCGCUUAGACGAAGUGGAGCGACCCCUAGAGGAAUCCCAAGUAGCGCGAUGCACGUGAAACUUCGCGCGAAUCCGUCCAGACCACUGGAUAAGGCUAAAUACUACCUGGCAACCGAUAGUGAACAAGUACCGCGAGGGAAAGGCGAAAAGAACCCCUGCGAGGGGAGUGAAAUAGAUCCUGCAACCACUUGCCUACAAUGUGUCGGAGUCCCGCAAGGGAUGACGGCCUGCCUUUUGCAUAAUGAGUCUGCGAGUUAUUGUCCGUGGCCAGCGUAACCGGAAGGGAACGCGAAGCGAAAGCGAGUACGAAAUGUGCGGCCAGUCGCGGGCAAUAGACCCGAAGCGGAGGUGAUCUACUCUUGAGCAGGUUGAAACCCAGGUAACACUGGGUGGAGGACCGAACUCGUGAAUGUUGAAAAAUUCUGAGAUGACUUGAGAGUAGGAGCGAAAGACUAAUCAAACCCCGUGAUAGCUGGUUCUCCCCGAAAUCGCUUGAGGGCGAGCGUUGGGAAAGUAAACCGAGGAGGUAGAGCACUGGAUGGCUUAGGGUCCACACCAGGAUGCCAAAACCAAUCAAACUCCGAAUUCCUCGGGAUCCAUUACCCCAGCAUUCAGACGGUGGGGGAUAAGCUCCAUCGUCGAGAGGGCAACAGCCCAGACCGCCGGCUAAGGCGCCUAAAUGCCGCUGAGUGGAAAGGAUGUGACGUUACUUAGACAGUGAGGAUGUUGGCUUAGAGGCAGCCACCAUUUAAACAGUGCGUAAUAGCUGACUCAUCGAGUGAUGUCGCGCCGAAAAUGAUUGGCGAUAAGCGGUAUGCCGAAGCUGCGGGAUCCGAGUUGUUUCGACAGCACGGAUCGGUAGGGGAGCGUAAUCGUUGCGGUGAAGGUUAUCUGGAAGGAUGGCUGGAGCGACGAUUAGUGAGAAUGCAGACACGAGUAGCGAUAAACCAGGUAAGAAUCCUGGUCGCCGUAAACCCAAGGUUUCCUGGGCCAGGUUCGUCCUCCCAGGGUUAGUCGGGAGCUAAGAUGAGGUCGUAAGACGUAAUCGAUGCACAGCCGGUCAACAUUCCGGCACCAGACUGGGUCAAACCGUCGAAGACGCAGAGAGAAAAGUGGACAAGUCAUUGAAAGACAGAGCCGAGGGGCAACCCGAAGCGGACCACCAGACAAUCUGCCUAGAAAAGUCGACGGCCCUUUCCCAGCCUGCCCGUACCGCAAACCGACACAGGUGGGUGGGUCGAAUAGACCAAGGCGCGCGAGAGAGCCCUCUCUAAGGAACUCGGCAAAUUAACCCCGUAACUUCGGGAUAAGGGGCGCUCACUUCGGUGAGCCACAGUAAAUUGCGUUUAGCGACUGUUUAACAAAAACACAGCACUCUGCCACGUCGUUAAGACAACGUAUAGGGUGUGACAAGUGACCAAUGCGGAAAGAUCAAGGCAAGUUGUUAGCCGCAAGGCGAAGCUCCGAACCUAAGUCCCCGUGAAUGUCGGCCGUAACUAUAACGGUCCUAAGGUAGCGAAAUUCCUUGUCGGGUAAGUUCCGACCUGCACGAAUCUUGUAACGACUGAACGACUGUCUCGGAGAGGUUCUCGGCGAAACUGUAAUGGCGGUGAAGAUGCCGCCUGCCCGCAGUAGGACGGAAAGACCCUAUGCACCUUUACUGUAAGCUCGUAUUGGCUUCUGAUUGAUGAUGCUUAGCGUAGGUGGGAGACUUUGAAGGCACGGUUUCGGUUGUGCUGGAGUCGAAAUGUGAAACACCACUCUUUGUCAAUUAGGAGUCUAACCUCGAUCCCGUUAGCCGGGCGAGGGACAGUGCGUGCGGGUCAGUUUGGCUGGGGCGGCUUCCUCCCAAAUGGUAACGGAGGAGCGCGAAGCUGGGCUCAGCAUGGUUGGCAACCAUGCGUCGAGCGUAUGGGUAGAAGCCCGGUUAACUGCGAGACAUACAAGUCAAGCAGAUGCGAAAGCAGGCCCAAAUGAUCCGAUGGUUGAAUGUGGAAUUGCCAUCGCUCAACGGACAAAAGGUACGCUAGGGAUAACAGGCUGAUCGGAUCCAAGAGUUCACAUCGACGAUCCGGUUUGGCACCUCGAUGUCGGCUCAUCGCAUCCUGGGGCUGGAGAAGGUCCCAAGGGUCCGGCUGUUCGCCGGUUAAAGCGGUACGCGAGCUGGGUUCAGAACGUCGUGAGACAGUUCGGUCCUUAUCCACUGUGGGCGAAGGAAACUUGAGGGGUUCAUUCCUUAGUACGAGAGGACCGGGAAUGACGCACUUCUGGUGUGGCAGUUGUUCCGUCAGGGGCAUCGCUGCGUAGCCAUGUGCGGAAGAGAUAAGCGCUGAAAGCAUCUAAGUGCCAAGCUCAUCCCAAGAUUAGGUUUCCCAGGACGUUAGUCCUCUAAAGGCCGCAGGCAGACUACCUGCUCGAUAGGCUGGGCACCUAUCGUGACUGGGAAACAGAUCGGAAGAGCACACGUCUGAACUCCAGUCACCGGCUAU